rnacentral:rRNA from 1 species
UACCGAGUUUACAACUCCCAAACCCCUGUGAACAUACCACUUGUUGCCUCGGCGGAUCAGCCCGCUCCCGGUAAAACGGGACGGCCCGCCAGAGGACCCCUAAACUCUGUUUCUAUAUGUAACUUCUGAGUAAAACCAUAAAUAAAUCAAAACUUUCAACAACGGAUCUCUUGGUUCUGGCAUCGAUGAAGAACGCAGCAAAAUGCGAUAAGUAAUGUGAAUUGCAGAAUUCAGUGAAUCAUCGAAUCUUUGAACGCACAUUGCGCCCGCCAGUAUUCUGGCGGGCAUGCCUGUUCGAGCGUCAUUUCAACCCUCAAGCACAGCUUGGUGUUGGGACUCGCGUUAAUUCGCGUUCCUCAAAUUGAUUGGCGGUCACGUCGAGCUUCCAUAGCGUAGUAGUAAAACCCUCGUUACUGGUAAUCGUCGCGGCCACGCCGUUAAACCCCAACUUCUGAAUGUUGACCUCGGAUCAGGUAGGAAUACCCGCUGAACUUAAGCAUA